rnacentral:rRNA from 1 species
UACGUAGGGUGCAAGCGUUUGUCCGGAAUUAUUGGGCGUAAAGAGCUCGUAGGCGGUGUGUCGCGUCUGCUGUGAAAACUCAGGGCUCAACUCUGAGCUUGCAGUGGGUACGGGCACACUUGAGUGCGGUAGGGGAGACUGGAAUUCCUGGUGUAGCGGUGAAAUGCGCAGAUAUCAGGAGGAACACCAAUAGCGAAGGCAGCUCGCUGGGACGUUACUGACACUGAGGCGCGAAAGCGUGGGGAGCGAACAGG